CUACGUGCCAGCAGCCGCGGUAAUACAUAGGGGACGAGCGUUAUCCGGAAUAAUUGGGCGUAAAGGGUGCGUAGGCGGUGUGUUAAGUUCAAGGUUUAAUCGUAGGGCUCAACCCUAUAUCGCUUUGAAAACUGGCACACUAGAGUAAGAUAGAGGCAAGUGGAAUUCCACGUGUAGCGGUGAAAUGCGUAGAGAUGUGGAGGAAUACCGAAGGCGAAGGCAGCCCCUUGGGAAUGUACUGACGCUCAUGUGCGAAAGCGUGGGGAGCAAACAGGAUUAGAUACCCUGGUAGUCCACGCUGUAAACGCUGUCGAUUUGGGGAUUGGGCCUUGAGCUUGGUGCCCGAAGCUAACGUGAUAAAUCGACCGCCUGGGGAGUACGGCCGCAAGGUUAAAACUCAAAUGAAUUGACGGGGGCCCGCACAAGCGGUGGAGCAUGUGGUUUAAUUCGAUGCAACGCGAAGAACCUUACCUACUCUUGACAUCCAUGGAAUCUUCUAGAGAUAUGAGAG
rnacentral:rRNA from 1 species